rnacentral:rRNA from 1 species
AGCAGCCGCGGUAAUUCCAGCUCCAAUAGCGUAUAUUAAAGUUGUUGCAGUUAAAAAGCUCGUAGUUGAAUUUCGGGACCAAUUUGUUGGUCGUGCCUCGGUACGUACUGGUAUUAUUGGUUUCUCCCUUCUGAAGAACCUCGAUGCCAUUAAUUUGGUGUCGUGGGGAAUCAGGACUGUUACUUUGAAAAAGUUAGAGUGUUUAAAGCAAGCAUACGCUUGAAUACAUUAGCAUGGAAUAAUGAAAUAGGACGUUUGAUUCUAUUUUGUUGGUUUCUAGGAUCGACGUAAUGAUUAAUAGGGAUAGUUGGGGGCAUUAGUAUUCAAUUGUCAGAGGUGAAAUUCUUGGAUUUAUUGAAGACUAACUACUGCGAAAGCAUUCGCCAAGGAUGUUUUCAUUAAUCAAGAACGAAGUUAGGGGAUCGAAGACGAUCAGAUACCGUCGUAGCC